UAUUUUAUUUUAUGUUUUGUUUUUUAAGGUACCGUUCUGAUUGUCUGCAAUUAAUGUGUAAGCAAGUGCAGUUUGACGUUUUCUUUACAAAUCAGUUGUGAAUGCCUCUGAACUAAUGUAAUUAUCACAGUGCUGUUAAAUGCCCAGUGGCCACAACACUUUUUACCAUAGUAACUGUCGUUUUACUGUGGUAUUUGUAGUUAAAACACAGUAAACACAAUACUUACCAUGGUUUUACCACAGUAGCUUUGGAUAAAAUAGUCUGCUAUGUAAAUUUAACAAUGUUUUUACUGCACACUAUUUGAAAAGCACAACACUAACCAUGAUUUUACUAUAAUUACUGUGUUUGUGUACUCUUUGUAGUUAAAGCACAGUACACAACACUUAACAUACUUUGAAAACUGUGUUUUUACCGUUUAAUGUUACUAUUUGUAGUUAAAGCACAGUAACACAACAUUUACCAUGUUUUUACCACAGUAACGUAGUUUUAAUGUGGUAUUUGUAGUUAAAACACGGUAUCCGCAACACUUACCUUGUUUCACCACAGUAACUGUGUUUUUACUGUGUACUAUUUGUAGUUAAAGCACAAUAACACAACAUUUACCCUGUUUUUACCACAGUAACGUAGUUUUAAUGUGGUAUUUGUAGUUAAUCACAUAACUUGCCAUGCCUUUAAUACUUUUAUGUAAAAAAAAAAAUGUAAUUCAAUAUUUUUUUGUCUUGCAGUUUCUUCAGAUCACAUACAUCUCCAUCUCCUACAACAACCUUUAGUGUCCAGCAGCUGUUUAUCAACAGCUCUCUCUCUCUCUCUCUCUCUCUCUCUCUCUCUCUCUCUCUCUCUCUCUCUCUCUGUCAGCUUUUCCUUGCCUAUUUUUCUGAACUGUUAUUCAUAAUUAAUUUACACAUUUUUUCUCUCUUUCUUCCUUUCUCUUUUUCAUCAUGGCGUAUUUUCAAAGCUCAGAAUUGAAUUUUGAUCGGUUAUGUCAAAAAGCUGCUAAUAUUAACAGCUAAAAAGGAAGACCAAAGGAAAGCCUGUUGAACUCUUGUCUUGUUUGUGGAGAGGGAUGAAUUUGGCCAUCUUGUGUGUUUACGGAGAAGACCAAAAGCUGCAAAGGCAAACAUUUCCAAUGGAUUUCUCACAUACUACUCCUUCAGCUCUCCACAAUAUCAGCCCUUUCAAAAGCUUCCACAUCUCUGUCUCUCUCUCUGCUCUCACAUCUGCUCUCAGUCCUUUACUACCAACUUCCAGUCUUAGCAUGUCUACGUGUAUAAAUUCUUCAGUCAACACUCCCAUCUCUACUGUGAGCACCUCUGUCGCUAUCACUAUGACUUUUAUAAUUAUAAUUAUCAACCAUUUUAAUUUGUCUUGCAUAUAGUCACAAUAGAAGAAACAAUGAUUACAGGAGAUACAUUUUUAGCCUAUUUGUUCAUUAAAGGGAAAAAAAUAACGUCUUUUCAAUUGGAGGCUCAACUUCCAGUUUGUAAAAUAUUAUUUGGCAUCUUAUAACGUUUUUCUAUAAACAAACUCUCUUUUUCUUUUUGAAUAUUAGACAGUUUUUUUUUUUUAAGGGGUCUCCAAUUGCAUACUUUUUAGUUACAUG